GUUCGUGCUGAAGGCCUGUUGCCUAGGCUACAGAUGGAGGACUCGGUUCCUUAUUUGCACCCAGGGGAAAGUCCCUGGACUGUGGGCAGGAGUGCUGUGAGUGCAUGCAUAUAGACUUCCCCUGCUUCUCACUGUCAAUCCUCCACCAAGAAGUGAGCGAGAUUACAGAAGCCAGGGGCAUGGUUAUGGUGGUGCAGCCAAGGGGCAGGGGGCGGGGGGGUAGUUAAUCUGCUCUCAACUUGCCUUCUCAAAUUGACCCAAGUAGUGACAGGCUGCCCGGUCUAGUUUCACACCUCUUAUCCCAAUGCAUUAGUCUAGGUUCCCAACAUGCAGACACCAAGGUGGGAUUAAAUGAGCAAGGU
rnacentral:sRNA from 1 species